rnacentral:rRNA from 1 species
AGAGUUUGAUCCUGGCUCAGGAUGAACGCUAGCGGCAGGCUAAUACAUGCAAGCCGAACGGCAAGUUUUGUAGCAAUACGAGACCUAGAGUGGCGUAAGGGUGCGUAACACGUAUGCAAUCUGCCCUCAACAGGAGUAUAGCUCCCCGAAAGGNNAUUAACACUCCAUAAGAUCAAGAUUGGGCAUCCAAUUUUGAUUAAACCCCCAGGGGUUGAGGAUGAGCAUGCGUCUGAUUAGCUAGUUGGCGGGGUAACGGCCCACCAAGGCGAUGAUCAGUAGGGGAACUGAGAGGUUGAUCCCCCACACUGGCACUGAGGUACGGGCCAGACUCCUACGGGAGGCAGCAGUAGGGAAUAUUGGUCAAUGGGUGAGAGCCUGAACCAGCCAUGCCGCGUGCAGGAAGAAGGCCUUCUGGGUUGUAAACUGCUUUUGCCAGGGGAUAAAAGACCCUUGCGAGGGAAAUUGAAGGUACCUGGUGAAUAAGCCACGGCUAACUACGUGCCAGCAGCCGCGGUAAUACGUAGGUGGCAAGCGUUGUCCGGAUUUAUUGGGUUUAAAGGGUGCGUAGGCGGUCCAUUAAGUCAGUUGUGAAAUACGGCAGCUUAACUGUCGAGGUGCAAUUGAUACUGGAGGACUUGAGUACAGACGAGGUAGGCGGAAUUGACGGUGUAGCGGUGAAAUGCAUAGAUAUCGUCAAGAACACCGAUAGCGAAGGCAGCUUACUAGACUGUAACUGACGCUGAGGCACGAAAGUGUGGGGAUCAAACAGGAUUAGAUACCCUAGUAGUCC